rnacentral:sRNA from 10 species
GGCUUUUUCUUGCAGUGGUGUUUACAACGAACUGAUCACAGACAGUUACAGAUUUCUUUGUUCCUUCUCCACUACUCUGCUUCACUUGACCAGCCUUAA